CGGGAUCCUUGGGGGGGAUCUUGGGAAUCUUGCGAAUGGGCGAACCCUGGGAACGACGCGCGUGGGGGAAGACGGCCUACGGGUUGUAAACCUUUUUUACCACUGACGCCAGCCCCGGUUUCUGCCGGGGUUGACGGUAGGUGGGGAAUAAGGGACCGGCCCAAAUCCGUGCCAGCAGCCGCGGUAAUACGUAAGGGUCCGAGCGUUGUCCGGAAUCAUUGGGCGUAAAGAGCUCGUAGGUGGUGUGUCGCGUCUGCUGUGUAAGUCCGGGGCUCAACCCCGGUUUGGCAGUGGAUACGGGCAUGCUAGAGGUAGGUAGGGGAGACUGGAAUUCCUGGUGUAGCGGUGAAAUGCGCAGAUAUCAGGAGGAACACCGGUGGCGAAGGCGGGUCUCUGGGCCUUACCUGACGCUGAGGAGCGAAAGCGUGGGGAGCGAACAGGAUUAGAUACCCUGGUAGUCCACGCCGUAAACGAUGUAUGCUAGUUGUUGGCCCUUCGGGGUCAGUGACGUAGUUAACGCGCUAAGCAUACCACCUGGGGAGUACGUUCGCAAGGUUAAAACUCAAAUGAAUUGACGGGGGCCCGCACAAGCGGUGGAGCAUGUGGUUUAAUUCGAUGCAACGCGAAGAACCUUAC
rnacentral:rRNA from 1 species